rnacentral:rRNA from 1 species
GGGGGGGGCAAGCGUUGUUCGGAAUUACUGGGCGUAAAGGGCGCGCAGGCGGGCGGGAAAGUCUCUCGUGAAAUCCCACGGCUCAACCGCGGAAUUGCGGGAGAUACUACUCGUCUUGAGUUCGGGGGAGGAGUGUGGAAUUCCCAGUGUAGCGGUGAAAUGCGUAGAUAUUGGGAGGAACACCGGUGGCGAAGGCGGCACUCUGGACCGAUACUGACGCUGAGGCGCGAAAGCUAGGGGAGCAAACGGGAUUAGAUACCCCGGGUAGUCCUAGCUGUAAACGCUGAGCACUUGGUGUAGCGGGUAUCGACCCCCCUGCUGUGCCGAAGCUAACGCAUUAAGUGCUCCGCCUGGGGGAGUACGGUCGCAAGGCUG